GCGCAGCAGUCGCGAAUAGUCUACAAUGGACGAAAGUCUGAUAGUGCGACGCCGUGUGUGCGAUUAAUUCCUUCGGGAUGUAAAGCACUUUUCUAUGAGAUAAAAGCUCUUUAGGUUAAUAGCUUAUUGAGACGGAUAUUAUUAUAGGAAUAAGCUCCGGCUAACUCCGUGCCAGCAGCCGCGGUAAUACGGAAGGAGCGAGCGUUGUCCGGAUUUACUAGGCGUAAAGGGCUAGUAGGCGACUAAUUAAGUUAUAUGUUAAAUCCCACGGCUCAACUGUGGUCCUGCAUGUAAUACUGGUUAGAUAGAGUACUGUAGAGGAAGGCAGAAUUCCUGGAGUAGCGGUGGAAUGCGCAGAUAUCAGGAAGAAUACCAAAAGCGAAGGCAGCCUUCUGGGCAGUUACUGACGCUGAAUAGCGAAGGUGUGGGUAGCGAACA
rnacentral:rRNA from 1 species